UUAGCUGUCACACCAUUUUCUCGCUUCUUGCUAUGUGAGUCUAAAUGUAUUGCUCUCACGAUCUCACCUCAACAUCUCAUCUCUCAUACAAUAGACACUGAUACGACACAAAAUACAUAACACACAUAACACUCUUGUCCCAUUAUUAAUGUUUCUUUCUCUUCUUAUGAUCAUCAUCUCGUUACCAUCCUAGUUCUCACUAUUUUUCCAUUUCCUUACUUCGUCUAGUGCCUUUGAUUUCAAUACUCGUGGAAAAUUACCGACAUUUAAGGUUUCAAAGGCAGCAUUGGAGCUACGCAGAUGAAGAAUCAUUUCGUGGAAUCCAUUGAUUUUCCUAUUGAAGAUGAUUGUACAUGAGCAUGAAUGCAACUCCAUGGUUCAAUGGUUCAAUUGGAACCCCUCGCACAGAGACAGUGAAAUUGAGGCUCCAAUCCCUUCUCCUUCUCCCUAACUCUUGGAAAUCCUAGGAGAGCAAUCAGAGGAAAAAGCUUGAGGAGUGUAAGAAAACCACUAGAGAUACUAUUAUAGCUGCCAGACAACACACAUGAGCUCACUAUGAGGUAAGGGAUGAGUUUAUUGCAAUUGAGGUUAGGAUGAACAUGUGUUGGGAUCCUUAGAGGAUCAAAUUGGGGCUAAUUUUGGGAGGUAUUUUAUGCAUUUUAAUUUUUUGUGUACAAUGAUAACUAUGAAUAGCUAAUCUUUGAUGGGUCAAUUGAUGCCAUGAUGCGAAUUGGAUGAUUUAAUUAAGUGUUUGGCUUUGAAUGUUAGAAAGCUAGAAAUUUGGGAAUUCUUGAU